UACGAAGGGGGCUAGCGUUGCUCGGAAUCACUGGGCGUAAAGCGCACGUAGGCGGGUCGUUAAGUCGGGGGUGAAAUCCUGGAGCUCAACUCCAGAACUGCCUUCGAUACUGAGAGUCUUCGAGUUCGGGAGAGGUGAGUGGAACUGCGAGUGUAGAGGUGAAAUUCGUAGAUAUUCGCAAGAACACCAGUGGCGAAGGCGGCUCACUGGCCCGAUACUGACGCUGAGGUGCGAAAGCGUGGGGAGCAAACAGG
rnacentral:rRNA from 1 species